AGGGGUUCUGAGAGGAAGGUCCCCCACAUUGGAACUGAGACACGGUCCAAACUCCUACGGGAGGCAGCAGUGAGGAAUAUUGGUCAAUGGGCGAGAGCCUGAACCAGCCAAGUAGCGUGAAGGAUGACUGCCCUAUGGGUUGUAAACUUCUUUUAUAAAGGAAUAAAGUCGGGUAUGGAUACCCGUUUGCAUGUACUUUAUGAAUAAGGAUCGGCUAACUCCGUGCCAGCAGCCGCGGUAAUACGGAGGAUCCGAGCGUUAUCCGGAUUUAUUGGGUUUAAAGGGAGCGUAGAUGGAUGUUUAAGUCAGUUGUGAAAGUUUGCGGCUCAACCGUAAAAUUGCAGUUGAUACUGGAUAUCUUGAGUGCAGUUGAGGCAGGCGGAAUUCGUGGUGUAGCGGUGAAAUGCUUAGAUAUCACGAAGAACUCCGAUUGCGAAGGCAGCCUGCUAAGCUGCAACUGACAUUGAGGCUCGAAAGUGUGGGUAUAAAACACCAUUAGAUACCCUGGUAGUCCACACGG
rnacentral:rRNA from 1 species